UGUCACCUAGUCUGUUUCAUCAGGCAUUGGCAAAAGUUAUCAAAAUUCUCAAGGCAAGAUUGUAUUCUACAGUAUGUUGAUCAUAUCUUGUUGGCAACAGAGAGUAGAGAGGAACACCUCAUCUUGUUAGCAGAAUUGUUUAAUCUGUUGUAUGAGUCAGGAUUGAAAUUAAAUCCAAGGAAGGUCAAAUUACUGAAACAAGAGGUUCAGUACUUGGGAGUUUUGAUAAGUCCGAAUCACAUGAGUGUGUUGAGACAUUUCAGGGGGAUUUCCCAUCUCUUUUUAGAAAAGAAGUAGAGGAAACUGAUGAACCAGUAUUUGUAGAUGGUUCUAGAUUUUGUUUGAAAGGACAAUAUUAUACCGGAUAUGCCAUUUGGUUUCCAAAGAAAGGUCGAGCUAUUCAGCAUAGACUACCAGGACAUUUUUCUGCACAGAGAGCAGAAAUUGAAGCUGUUAAAACAGUAUUGGAAAUUAAUGAGAAAUAAAAUAAUGAUCCUUUGGUAAUCUAUAGCGAUAGUUCAUAUGUCGUACGUUCACUAACAGACUACUUACCUAUGUGGAAAAAACGAGGUUUUGUGGAUUCAUCUAACAAAAUCUUAAGUCAUGUUGAUACAUUACAGACUAUUUUUGAGCUUGCGUCUAAAAAUCCUAACCGAUAUGCUAUUGUCAAAGUACCUGGCCAUUGCAGAGGGACUAGUGAUUUAGCUUUGAGAAAUGAGAAAGCAGAUUCUCUGGUAAAGGAAGCAGCUUUGACAGGAGAGAUAGUGAUGGAACUGGAACCAUUAGAAGUACUACCAGUAAAGAGUAAGGAAGCAAAUUUACCUUCAUUCAUCGAUAAAGAUGAAAGAUGCAUUCAUUACAGAAUGUAAGAAUAAAAUAACACCUCCCUUUGUUUGUGAGAACGGAGUGGUGUGUUAUGGGAUGCAAGGUAAUUUACUUCCAGUUGUGCCUAAACACUUGCAGACGGAAUUCACCCGCUAUAAGAUAUAAAGAUUAGGUCAUGUGGGUCAGCAAAAGUUGCUGGAAAACUUCAAAGAGAAGUUUUAUUGGGACAAAAAGGUGGACUCUGUACAAAAUGUUGUUCAGUCAUGUCUCAUUUGUGCUCAAGUAAACCCCAGGCCUAAAGGACAAAAGUCUCCACUUCUAAGAAUUGCACCUGCAGAUGGUUCGUGGUCUAUACUGCAGAUUGACUACAUAGGUCUCCUACUUCAGGUAACCAAGGUCUCAGGAACACAGUUCUGCAAGAAAAUGGAGAAACAAAACUGUUUACUAUUGGACAGAGAACCUCCAAAGAAACAGCAAUACAAUAAGCGCGACAUCAAGAUAGCGUGCUACAUAUUACUUCCAUGGUUGUUGGUGCUGAGUUUUUUGAUUGCUGUGUUGUUUGAACUAUACCAGAAGCCAAUUGGAAUUGAUGAUCAGACA